rnacentral:rRNA from 1 species
UCCGUAGGCGGGCAAUUAAGUCAGAGGUGAAAUCCCACAGCUCAACUGUGGAACUGCCUUUGAUACUGGUUGUCUUGAGUUACAGUGAAGUAGAUAGAAUAUGUAGUGUAGCGGUGAAAUGCAUAGAUAUUACACAGAAUACCGAUUGCGAAGGCAGUCUACUAACUAACAACUGACGCUAAUGGACGAAAGCGUGGGGAGCGAACAGGAUUAGAUACCCUGGUAGUCC